GACCUCGCCCUAGACUUAAUUCCAUAUUGUCACAUUUUGAGCACUCCGACCAGAGAGUAUUGGCAGCAGGCGGUUUGCAGUUGUUAGAAUGUCCAAUGCCUAGUUUUUUUUCUUUGUAUCUAAGCUUUCUAUUGUCAUUUACCUUCUUUUUAUCUAUAUUUUUUUUGUUAUUUUAUUGUAAACUUUUUUUUUAUUCUCAAGCUUAUUUUCUUUUCUAUGUUGAGUUGACGUAUUUUUUCUUUCAUUUACAUUAUUUUUGUUACAUUUUUUUAUGCUCAUACUCAUUUUCUACCUUUAAUUUUACUCACCUCUUGUCUACAUCAGUUUCCCGUCCAAGGCAUAAAAAAAAAAUAAACGUCGAAGGAACAACAAAACCACAAAGGAAUCGUAGAAAUUCACGUCUUUAUUUAUUGUUACUGAGUCGAUAUAUGCAAACUACAAAAAAUGCCACACUGUACAAGAUACUGGAGUGGUGGAUAGUGGUGGUGGUGGUGGAGAGUGUAGUGGUGUAGUAGUAGUAGUGGUAGUGGAGGGGGGCAGUGGCAGUGGCAGUGUAGGUCUGUAUGUGGUUGUUAACUGUUGAGUAGUGGUAGUAGUGGUAGUAGUUGUAGCAGUGGUUAUAGUAAUGGUAGUGGGGCUGGUAGCUGUAGUGGUUGUACAUACAUGGUUUUGGUAGCAGUAGUUGUGGUUGCACUUGUCUAUAGAACCAUAAUAAAUUUUUCUCAUUUUUUGUAAUAACACACAUAAAUAAUUUUGAUACUGAACUUUACAGGGAUGUGAGGAGGGGGGGGGGCGGGGGGUGUAAUGGGUGUGUAGGGAGGUGAGGUGAUGGGGGGAAUGAUAUGGUCUGGGAGAUGUAACAGUGAUACAGGUGUGUGGAUUGGUGAUAUGGACAGGUGUGAACAGGUAUUGGAUAGGCAGGUAGGUAGGUAGGUAACAAUACUCUUUUCACCCAACCUUGACGAAUAAGCCCCGCCCAUAACACCCCAGCAGCAACCAAUAGGAUUUAACCUUUCGCAGCAUCCACCAAUCACAUUCUUGGUUCGUGGAAGGGGCGUGGCUUGCCUGAGUGUUAUCCAAUCAUAAACACUUCAUAGAAAACGGGGGAGGGGUCUAUUCGCCAAGGUAAUUUGAACAGAAUAGAGGUGGGGUUCAGUGGAGGUGGUGGAUAGGCAAGGAAAAUGGGAUGAUAAGGAAUUGGUAAGUACAUUGUAGUUUGAAUCGUUAUUGUACAUUAAUUUCGAUAUGUGGAAUGUGGAAGGGAUGGAAUUGGUUGGGCAGAUAAAGUGAGGUAUUUUUUGAGGUGGUGAAUGGGAUGGGGUCUGAAAGGGUUAGAGGCGAAUGAAUGAUGUGAGAGGGACUGGAAAUGAAAAGGGAGAGAAUUAUUAAAAGUGAAUGAGAUCAAAAGGACAGUGAGUGAAAAAUGAAAAAUGAGAUUGACUGUGAAUGAAAAAGGAGGGAAUCAUAAUUAAAAAAAUGGGAUGGACAGUUCAAUGAAAAAAGAUUAGAUAGAGAACGAAAAUGUUACGUGAAUUAAAGAAGACGCGAAAAAAAGAUGAUUACUGGAAACUGAUGUGGAAAUGAUAAAGGCAAAAAAAAAAAACCAUGAAAAUACUCGUACUGUGAUUUGGGAUAAGAGUAAUUUGCAAAAGGUUAAUUAUUUGAAUGGUGGAAUAAAUUAAGUUGAAGAAAGGGAUAAAAUGACCAUUGCUUAUUAAUGAUUUGAAAUGAUGUGUGAAAUGAUUAGAUGAAGAGAUAAAUAAGGUUAAUAUGGAAUGGAUAAGAUAUGAUUAAAAUUGGAUGGGUAAUAAAAAUAAUGGUUUGAAUAGGAUGUGAAAACUGUGUGGAUGAAUUGGAUGUUGUUUUGGAUGUUUGAUGGGUGAAAGCUUGGGUGAAUGGAUGGAUGAGGCGAAUAAUAGGACAUGGGUGUUGGAUGGAAUUGGAUGGACAAAGAGUGUGGGUGAAAUGAAUGAAUAAGGAUAUGAAUUAAAUGUGGAUGUGGGUAUUAGAUGGAUGAAGGUUUGGGUGGAUGAAUGAAUAGGGUUAAUAAGACAUGGGUAAUUGGUUGAAAUGAAUGGAUAAAUCUGUGGAUGAAGUGGAUGAAUAAGGGAAUGACGUGGGUGUGGGUGUGGAUGUAAGUUGGAUGAAGAUUGUGGUGAGGGAAUGGCUAGGGUGAGCGUGGAUGAGGGUGUUGGGUGCGGAAGUGGAUGGACAAAGGGUCGGUAGGGUGGAUGGAUAAAGAGUGGAGUUGAUGGAUAAAGGGUGGAGUUGAUGGAUAAAGGGUGGAGUUGAUGGAGUAAGGGUGGAGUUGAUGGAGUAAGGGUGGAGUUGAUGGACAAAGGGUGGAUUGAAUGGACAAAGGGUGGAGUUGAUGGAUAAAGGGGUGGAGUUGAUGGACAAAGGGUUGGAUAAGAUCUUUUAACAGCUACAAUACUAAAAAUGCUGAGAUUACUUUGUACUGUAGGGAGUUGUAAAUCAGUUAGUAUUUUUUUUAUAUCGGUCUGUUGUGCUUGUAAACAUUAUAAUCAUCAUCAUCAUCAUCAUUUUCAUCCUUUCAUUAUACCUUAUCGUGAACCUUCCUUCCUUCCUUAUCAUUAUCUUCGUUUUCAUCAUCAUCAUCAUCAUUUUCAUGCAUUCGUAACCUUAUCUUGAAUCUUCCUUCCUUCGUUAUCAUCAUUAUCUUCGUUUUCAUCGUCAUCAUCAUCAUUUUCAUGCAUUCGUAACCUUAUCUUGAACCUUCCUUCCUUCGUUAUCAUCAUUAUCUUCAUUUUCAUCACAAUAACUUCAGCUUCAUCGUCAUCUUCGUAACCCAACCAACUCUACACGAAAAAGUUGCAAUCUUACACAGUUCCAUAACACAAACUAAUACUAAUACGACACUCUAGAUCCAUGAAUUCAAAAUAUACAUAUCCAUUAUAGUUAAGUGUACAGGUAGAUAGACGGAUAGAGUGACGGAUAGAUAAAUCGAUAAAUACCUAGAUAGACAAUUACUUAUAGAAAAUCGCAUACCGAGACACAACUGUACGAAAGAUAGAACGUUUGAACACAUCACAAAACUAACGAAUAUUGCAGAAUUGCGAAACACAUGAACCGCCGCAUCUUCAGUAACUGCAUAUAAGUUGAGAGAUGUGCAUAAAUUCGACUUUGAAAGCAGCGAGAACACUGAUUUAACGUUGAACUAAACAAUAUACCUUGAAAUCAAACCUGUCAAAUAUUGCAGAUUUUCAAAACACAACCAUAUUCUCAGAAACAACAUCAUGAGACCAAAAAGAUAAGUAUUUAGAUUCACAUAUGAAAUUAGUGUAUAUAAAAAAAAACAUUGAUUUCCUAGUACAUUACACAUAACUUGGUACGAGCGGGCUUUUUUUCUUUAAUAUUGUUUUCUUUUUUUUUACGCCCUUGAACUGUCUCCUUUGCUGUAAAAAAAAAAAAAACAAUAAAAUAGUCACCAUAUUUUAAGGAACCAGAUUAUGUAUUAUGUGAGUAAAAAAAAGUUGAAAUUCACGUCUGAAAUCGAUUAAAAACAUCAAUUUCGAUUUAGCAGAAGAUUCAAACAUUAGAACUCUUGCUGUAAUAUAUAAAAACAAACCCGAAUAAUACAGUCACCAUAUUUUCAGAACCCAGGUGUAUUAUGUGAGCGAAAAAAAGUUGAAAUUCACGUCUGAAAUCCAUUAAAAAACAUCAAUUUCGAUUUAUCAGAAAAACCAAACAUUAAAACUCUUGCUCUAAUAUAAAAUAAAAAAAAAGCUCAUUGUCACUGUUAGUAGACCAAAUAAAACACCUUAACUAACUAACCUGAGCAACCAUACAGGUGAAGAUCAACAAACAAACGCAAACUAAUGUCAGUACAACAAGACCAACAACAACAACAAGGGCAGCAGUAUAUAGCAGCAGCAGUAACAAAAUUAAAAAUAGUCACCGAUUGAAGCGUUUUCUUCCAUUCAAUCAAAGAAAACGUGACCAAUCCAUUGCAAACAACCGCAACUCUUCAUUUUUUUUUUUCACUUUUUCCAAACACUGAACGAUAGAUUUCCUCGCCUUCAUCUUUUUUCUUUCUUUCAAACGACAAAGUUCCCAUUUUUCCUUUCCCUAAGAUGAACCGUUCCUAUUUCCUUUAUUUUUCAAACUUUCCUCCUCUUUUUCUUUUCUCCAAACUACGAACUUUUUUAGACUGUGUUUGUUUGCUUCUCUUUGCGCGGGGCAGCAAGAGAUUAUUGAGCAGCUGGAGGCAAACAAACAAACUAACAAACAAACUGUGCGUUGUGGUACUGUGGUGGUGGUGGUGGUGGUGGUGGUGGUGUCAUUUUAUUUCCGUCGUAAAAAUAAAAAUAAAAAGUUGUAAUAAUUGGACUUUCCUGUUUUAGCGUUUUUUUGAGCAUGUCAUUGUGGAAGGAGUCGAACUUAUGUGACGCGAUGUUGUUGUGUGGUUUCGGAAAGCAAGUCAUUGAUGUGUUCGGUGUGGAAGCGGAAACCUCGGCGUCUCACCCCCUGGACAAGACCUGACUGAUAAAAUUUGACCUAUUUUCUGAAUGCUGAAUCAUCGUUAAUUUGUGUACUGCCUGGGGGUUGGGAUGGCAUGCUCCUCCCUUCUCCUUUGUUGUUUACUUGCGACAAUAAACUAUCACUCAAUUUGGAAGAGAAAACAGCUUGCAGGUUUUUUUCUAAUUAUGUGAAAUCGAAAACUGAUCUGUGUGGCCAGCUGCGUUUCUGCCAGAUUAAACGUGAGACUGAUUCAGUGUGUGUUAUCUCAUGAAACAAAACUAUUUUCAGUUUGUAUCGAAAAUAUUACUAAUGUAUCGAAAAUUUCUCGAGUUUUGUUCUGCAUACCAAAACGAAAGUUUCGUCACGUGUUCUGUACUGUUUCUGUGGCGUGUCGAACGGAAAACUGAUUAAAUUUUACAUCAUUUUCGUCUUGGAAGUUUAAAAAGAGAAUAUCAUCAUUAUAUAUAAUAGAAGACUUAAAAACUCCCAAUUUUAUGUUUUGCACACAAAAGCAAAAACCUUGUCACGUUUUCUGUUGCAUUUGUUCGGUUAGACGUGGAGGAAAUGAUUUAGUUAUACAUUUAUUUAGAAAAAUCCGCUUACCUCAAUUUUAAAUCGCAGAGGUUUGAAAAAUACCCCCAAAAUAAAAGGUAUUGGAUUUCCUCAUUGAGUAACGGAUUGUGAAUGGGAGAGUGGAGGGUGUUCAGGGGGGAGAGAGGGAGGGUGGAGUGUUGCCAUGUAUUGCUUUGUGAUGAGUGUUACAAUGGAUGGUUAAGUUAUAGUGUUACGGAAGGGAUGAGGGGAGGGAAGGGAUUGUUAGCUAGUUAGUAAUACGUGAACGGAUGUGAUUGUGCAUGGAGGGAUUGUUAACCAGACAGUGAAGCGUGUACGGAUGUGAUACUGUAGGGAGGGAUUGUGUAGGAAAGGAUUGUUAGCUUGAUAGUGAUACGUGAACGAAUUUGAUAGUGUAGGGAGGGAUUGUUAGCUAGUUAGUGACACGUGAACGAAUCUGAAAGUUAACGGAGGGAUUGUGUAGGAAGGGAUUGUUAGCUAGUUUGUGAAGCGUAUACGGAUGUGAUAAUAUACGAAUCUGAAAGUGUACGAAGGGAUAGUUAGCUGUUGAUAGUUAGUGUUAUAGAUAGAAAAGAAGGAAAGUGACGGUUAGCUUAUGGUGGUAUGGAUUCGAAGGAGGCGAGGGUAGGGAAGGGGAGGGGAAAGAGUGUGAAGAAGUCAAUAGAAACGUGGCUUUUCGUUUUGUAAGAUUGUUUGAGUAGUUUUUGGUAGUUGUUGUGUGACUUUGGAAACUGUCUCAUGCCUGCUUCUUUUGUUAAUGUGAAAGAGAAGAUAUGAAGAAGGAAUGUAACGGACUGAUACUAGAUGGAUUAAAAAGAUAUACGGAGAAUACUUAGAGGAAUAAACAGAGAAGAAUAAACAAAGCAAGUGAAAAAGAGAGAGAAAACGAAAAGGGUAAAUACGCAGAAAGAUAGAUAACUGGAACAAUGAAAGCCGAAAUGUAAAUGUUAGACAAUGAACAAUGAAUUAAAAAGAUAUACGGAGAAUACUUAGAGGAAUAAAUAGUGAAGAAUAAACAAAGCAAGUGAAAAAGAGAGAGAAAACGAAAGGGGUAAAUACGCAGAAAGAUAGAUAACUGGAAAAAUGAAAGCCGAAAUGUAAAAGUUAGAGAAUGAACAAUGAAUUAAAAAGAUAUACGGAGAAUACUUAGAGGAAUAAACAGAGAAGAAUAAACAAAGCAAGUGAAAAGACGAAAGGGAUAAAUACGCAGAAAAAUAGAUAACUGGAACAAUGAAAGACGAAAUGUAAAAGUUAGAUAAUGAACAAUAAGAUAAAAAGUGAAAUAAUUCGCUCUUUUAUUUAAGCUAGACAAAUAAAAUCAAAAAAGCUACGAACUCAGAAUUAGUGUUUUGUGAUAAUGAAGCGACGUCAGAAACACGUUUGCAAAUUUCAUAGAUGAUGCAAUAAUCUUUUUUUUUUUUUUGUGUGUGUGUGUGUGUUGGUUCACUAGAGUUUUAAUGAAGCAGGAAUGAAACAGUCUCGCUUUAUGCUUCAUGUAAAUUAAGUUGCUUUUUUUUACUUUUUUUUCCGCCUGUUUUUGUUGUUGUUUACUGUUCUGUUGACUCACUGUCAUGCUGUUGUUUUGUUAUAUAUUCAAGGAUGUUUCUUAGUGUUUAUUCAUCAUUUUGUAUGGAUUCGUAUGUGUUUGUAAAUUCGUGUGUGUGUUUGUGUGUAUGCAUGAAUAGGUUGUGUGUGUGUGUGUGUGUGUGUGUGUGUGUGUGUGUGUGUGUGUGUGUGUGUAUGUUUGUGUAUGAAUUGGAUGGACGAUUUCAGGUUUUGUGUGCGUUUGUGUGUGUGUGUGUGUGUGUGUGUGUGUGUGUGUGUGUGUGUGUGUGUGUGUGUGUUUUAUUUCAGUGGGACGCGUUAAAAACAAUAAUCUUUUCUAUCUAUUUUUAUCUAAUGUUUUCUUUUUUCAUUCUCUUAUGCUCUGAAUUAAACAUUGAAAACCUUUUUUUUUCUAUUAUUUUCUCUCAUUUUUCACGUCUUCCAGAACAACAGAAUUCUCCAUUUUCACAAUUAUAAAAAAGAUCUUGUAUUUCAUCUUUGCUAUUGUAUGUUUUUUUUAGGACUUUGUGAAAUGAAAGCAUACAAUCACUUUUAUUUUCCCGAUACUUUCUUUUUCUUUUAUAUUUUCGUACAAUCAGUUAAUUUUCUCGAUAAUUCUUUUUUUUUAUUUCAUUUGCCUCUUUUUUUUAUUUUCGUUUAAGACUUUCGUAUGUAUUCCACUAUCAGUAUUUCGAAUGAUGAUUAUUGAAAGAGAGCAAAUAAUAAAAAAAAACAAUCACCACAGUAUUAAAUAGAUAUUCAAUUUCAGUAAAGCUCAACUAUUUUCUCUUUUUCUUUUCUUUUUCGCUCAUUAUUUCUUUAACUAUUUGAAUUAUACGAUGAAAAACAACAAAGAAUCAGUCUGUUACAAAUCACCAAUCAGUUUCCACAUUUUUUUUCUCUUUUUUACUAUAUUUUGAUCGACUUGCUUGUAUAUAUAUUUUUUUUUAUGAUCAGUAUUUAAACGAUGAUUAAAGGAGAAUAACGAAUCAGUCUUCUGUCCAAUAACCAAUCACUUUGUCUCGUUUUCGUUUAUUUUCUUUUAAGCUCGUUCAAGAGUCCACAUGUAUCAUAUAUUCGUGGGUUUCAAAUGUUAUGUGUAUUUCAGUGUUAUCAAAGGAAACAAACGAAUCAUUCUACUUUUCAAUUUUCGAUCACUUUCAUUCACUUUUUUUCUCCGUUACUCUUAUUAUAAUGUAAAUAUUUUGUGUAUGUUUUGUAAUGUGUCGAUAAAUGAUGAUGAGAGCAGAGGAUCUAAUCAAUCUAGUGUCCAAUUUCCAAUCAUUUUGUCAUUACCAUCAGGGUUUUUUUUUUUUUCGAUUCGUGUAUUACAUUUAAAGUAAAAGAGAAAAAAAAUCAAUCUACAUUCCAAUCAGCAAACAUUUUUUUUCCUAAUCAAGACGAUGACAAACUUUUCCCGAAGGUUAACAAUCAUUGGUCCAGAUCCUUCCAGCGUCUCAAUUUUGACCGUAAGUUUUUUUUUUAAAUGUCACGCUUUUCAAUCCCAAUUUUUACUAACAUUUGGCGCUCCACUUCUGUCUUCUACACUUACAAUGGCAUCAGUUAAGCGGUAGUAAUAGUAGCAAUACGAGUUAAUAUUAUUGUUAUUAUUAGUACUUACACUAAAGAGAGAGAUUGAAACAUUUUACGUCUACUAAGUUGUAUAAAAUAUUUGAGUACACACAGCCUAUGGUUAUUGGUGGUGGGGGUUGUCUACUAUAAAAUAUAUGUUAUGUUAUGUUGCAAAAGACUUCUUCCUAAGAGUACGUACGUGGUAGUACUGAGACAAGUUAAUUAAAGAGAGAGAUUAACCUUACGCAUGAUAAAACAUUGAGUAAAGUGUGUCCGCCAGUCUGUACGCAGCAUUCCUAUUAGUACUCAUUAUAAUAAAAAAUAAAAAAAGAAUUACCUUGGAAGCUGAACUGAGGCGUAAAAUGCAAUGUAAUGUAAAAUGUAAUGUGAAACUAGUACCAGAGGAAUUUUGUUUACAUUCAAUUUUAAUCCUUCAGUUCAGUUUCCUAGAGUAAUGCUUUCUUAAUGAUUACUAAUUAGUAUGGCGCGUACAAAUUGGCCCACACACCCAAACUUAAGCCUAAGGGAGUGACGCCAUUCUGUGACCCUGACUUAGCCCGCCAGUACGUCCGCCUCAAGCUGCGGCGCGUGUCCACACCACGACCCUGAACUAAUGACUCUCGGCUCGCGCGGCCUCCUUCCAGGUCACGUUACCGUUCUGCUAAGAAGGGUAAUGAUGGGUCCUUUCUGAUGCUUUAGUGAAGAAUGUUUUGAUAUGUUAGGGUGACCCGAUGAACGUUGCUUUAUGUUUAAACUUAGUCAAGAAGUUAUUUUUAGAUUAAUACGUAUUCAGUCACUUCCCAGCGAAUCACAACAGUUAAAUGAUCAACAGUUGCUCCGUUUCUUUAUAAUUUAAGGUCAUUAUCAGUUGAUUCAAAAUUUUCAGUUAAUAUCUGUAGUAUCCUACUUUUCAAUUAUUUUCGUCACUUAAUUUAUGAACAGAAAUAUCGCGAAACUUCACUUAAAGCAGACUUAUUUAGACGUUUCAAUGAGGAAACUUCUUUGUAUUAUUUCUGAUUAUAUAUCGUUACAAAUUUGGACGAACUCACGAAAGUAACACACGGAAGGAAGCUCUUUCAUCAUCACAUCACCAAUCGGCCUCAUCUCGGUCAGAUUUCCUUAAAAAAUAAUUAUACACCUUGAGAGAAAACGGACCAGUGGCGAACCAAGAAGAGAAAGAAAACGGGUCACGGGUUGGGUCCCUUGCCAGGAAGCGCUUGCCCCACUGGUGUUCGUGGACAAGGUGGGCGGCGCUGUUUCACCUGAGUCACCUUCAGCUUGGAUUGGUUCGCCUGUUUGUACGCUCCUCUCCUAUUAGUACUCACGGUGGGAACAAAAAAGCAGGAAAUUGAACUCGUACGAAAAAAGAAAUACAGUUCGAGCAAGGUUUCAAUGGGUAUACGACUUCUCGCUUUAUAAUUGAACAUUUAUUUUGACAGUUUAGAAUUGCACUGUACUGUCAAGGGAAUAACCUUUUUAUUGGACCUUUAUUUUGAUAGUUUAGAAUCGCACUGUAUUAACAAGAAAUUCACCUUUGUAUUAAACCCUUAUUUUUGCACUUCUUCUUUUCUAGGCCUGAGUACACGAAUUUUCUGGAGGGUUUUCUUCUUUUCCUGGCGUGAGUACUGACAGGAAUGGCGCUACAAACAGACGAACACACACCCUUUCUAAUCAACGUGGUGUCGUGGACGCUUCGAGGUUCCGCAGGUCUACUUCAGCUCCCCUUCACGCGCAGGGCUCACUAAACGUUUUCUUUGACCCUUGAUUGCGUUUUCCUUUGCGACUUUUCGAGGCGAACUCCUUUAACGUGAUUUUUUGCGUCUCAUUCUUUGUUAUUUUGCGGUUUAAUUUUGUUCUCUUGUCACCUUGCAACCACAAACGCGUCUGUCAAUGCGAAGAAAGGAGAGAGAAUCUACGCAUGCAAGUUGAGAUAGACAAAUAAAUAUCGUAGAAAGAAAACGGGAGUAUGGAGCAAGGGAACACUAAGAGAGAAAUACGUCAUACUCUUCUUCUAAAUCGGAAUACUAAUAUGAGGUCUGUUAAAGUAAACGAAUAUAAAAGUGGACAGGGAUAUUAAGUGCAAGUAAAACAAGUGACUGUUAUACGAGGGAAAAUAUCAAAAGAAAGUAUAGAAACCCUUGAAAACAGCCAAAGAAAACGAAAUGGGAGCGUCGGUAUUGAUAGAAAGCGUAGUACACUUACUGGGUGACUCAGGUAUUCUCUUUAUCCUCUUUUUACAUCAUGCAAGGCGACGACAUCUACGCUUGCCCCUCUCUUCCUCCCCUCCCCCUCCCCUUCCGCUCCUUCUUCCUCUUGAGCCGCCCACUUGCUGACGUCACAGCGAGACGGCCAAUCAGCGACGAGAUAAUAUUUAUAAGGAGAAAUUUUGAACAUUUUGAGAUUUAUUUAUAUUUUUCUCUUUUACUUUCUUUCUCUCUCUCUUUCUCUCUCUGUAAAUGAAAGAAUGAAGAUAAGAAAUAAGAAGUGGAGGGAAUUUUAGAGGCAAAUGGAAGGAGAUGAACAGGAAGAGAGAAAGAAAGAAAAAAAGAGAGAACUUGAUUUGCUCUUUUACUUUCUUUCUCUUUCUCUCUUUCUCUCUCUUUGUAAAUGAAAGAAUAAGGAUAAUUUUCAGUAAGAAGUGGAAAAAGUUGCAAUAGAGAAUUGACAAGAGAUAAACAGUAAUAGAGAGUAACAGAUAAAGAGAGAGAACUUGAUUAGGAUCCAUUUUGUUCAAUCAUCCCCCCAAAAUAUGAAAGAAAACGGGGCGGGGAGGGAAGGAAAACGAGCACACACACUAAUCUAACACAGUAUCCCUUCUAUUGAGUGCGUCAGCGGCAAAGAAAACGGCGAGAGAGAAAACGGAGCCUCUACUCUCUACACGUUUACACAAUUCACACUCCUUCUCCUCCACCUCUUCCUCCUUCUCCUUCUCCUCCUCUUCUUCUUCCUCCUCCUGUUUCUUUUUUUUCUUACCUACACGAACACCAAUCGACAAGCUAACGAGAAAACAAGCAAACAACCAAACAGCGAAUGGCAUAACAAACAAAACAACAAACCAUAAACAAGAUAAACAGGAGUAAACAACAACUCUAAAGACAGUGGAGUUUUGUUUUCUUGUUUAUCUGUUUGUUUACUUGUUUGCUUUGUUUGUUUACCCAGUCGCUCCAAAAUACCUACACCUAUUAUUAUUAUUAUUAUUAUUAUUAUUAUUAUUAUUAUUAUUAUGAAAACACCCACAGAGUAGUAUAAAAAUUUAUUAACUAUCUACCUAAUUACCUAACUAGUGCGCUAAUUGUUAUUUUUUUCAUUUUUCAAGUUUUUGUUUUGUUUUUAUAAGUUUUUUUCAUAUUAUUUUGUUCUUUGGCAACGUAACGUCAUCGCGUUCUGUAAUUAAAAACGAAAAGAUUUGAACCAGCCAAUCAGAAGACAGGGAUUCGGGGCGCGUCGCUUGUGAUUGGUGGACUUCUGGUGACGUCACAAUCGCGUCUUGUUCUUUUUUUUUCGACCGCCUUCACUUACUCUUUUUUUUUUCCUUUUUGUCACUUUUAUCUUUUUGAGCAACUUGCAGCGCCUUUCUUUGACACUAUUUUUGAAUGCCCAUAAGUUUAAGAAAUACAUAAAAACACAAACAUAAAUCAAAGGAAUUCGAGAAAAAUGGAGUAAAAGAAAAUAAAAGAAAAAUCAUAUCGUUUGAAAUUUUUUUAUAUAGAAAGUAUUUAUACCUUUUCUUGAGAAUUUUGAAACAGAAUAUUUAAGGAAAUUCACAACAAAAAAUAAUAUAAAACAAAAAAAACGUAAAAUUUCUAAAUAAACCUUAUAUAUUUUUUUUACCUUCAGCGAAACGUUCGAGCGACCAAAACAUUGUGAAAAUACGUAAUUCACUUCAGAUCCUUAACAACUGCGACCGUAUAAAAAAUAACUCAAGACAUUUGCUUGCUAUCUUUAGCACCAAUUAUUAAAACGUAGUAUCUUUACCACCUUUUUUGUUUUCUUUUGUUUUCCUUUAAGUGUUGCCUAAACUUACAAAGACAUUGUUUCCUACAUUCACAACACGCACGCACACACGCACACACACACAGAAAGAGAAUUACCAUUAGACUUAUCAGGUAAAAAAAGUGUAAAAAAUCGACUUUUCUGCUUUGCCUUUUUCUCCUUCUAGAGAGAAACACGUAAUAGUAGCAAUAGUACAGGAGUAGUAAACAGUAGUAAUAGCUAUCGUACAAGUAUUUAGCACGUCGGAAAUCACUCACGGUUGCUUAUAAAACGUACUAUCACAAAGCAUAUGACUGACUCGCUACCAGUGUACGUAGUAACUUACAAAUUAGCCCAGUACAAAUGUAAAAACCUCUACGAGUAACAUCCGCUAAGAAUAAGAAUAAUGCCUUAAGAAUGGGAGGUCUGCAAAGCUGUGUCUCGGUAGGGGGCAGCAGAGGUCGCGCCUGUGCUGCCCCCUAGUGACAAGCAACUCUGACCUUCCCCUAUUGAUGGAUAGUUUGGACACACGCAACACUACACACACACACACACACACACACACACACACACACACACACACACACACACACACACACACACACACACACACACACAUCACGUUAUUGGCUAAGUUACUCCCUAGUGAUAUAUUUGGUUAGUUCAACCCUACGACACACACCAACGCUAUCGUCUACUUAUGUUACGGUUACCACGGCUAUUUCUACUUCCAAUAUUACAGCCUUAGUAGUAGUACAAUCAUUACUUGCCAUACAGCGACGGUUUAUGUACUAAGUUUUCCUUCCGGCGGUACAAAAAGGAUUACAAAAAAAGGAUUUAUCAUAGGGAGAGACGAAGGGGUGAAGGGGUCGAAGGUUGGCGUUAUAAAAAAGUAUAUGUACAAGCUUUUUUAACCUCAUGUUUGUUUUGUGUGUGUGGAAUUUAGGGUUUUGAAAGGCGUUUGGAAGUGCAUCACAGGAAGUUGACCUUUAUGGAUUUUUUAACUAUUUCUUGCACUCGUUUUUUGGAAAAGUUUUUGGAAAAGUAUGAAAACCGUAAUUGUAAUCGUGUUAAUCUAUUUUUUUUAACUUAAUUGUGUAUUUAGACGUAAUUUGAAUGCAUUUAAGGCCAACACACACACACACACACACACACACACACACACACACACACACACACACACACACAUAUUCCUGGUCUGGCCCAAAACCUUUCUCUCGUUAGCAUUUGAACCCUCAUAACAUUGCUUUGAAACAUAUAUAUUUGAAAACUAUCAUGAAUAAAUAAAUUCUCUUUUUCUAUAAUAAUAAUAAUCUGAUUUAAUUUAACUGGUCUAAUUCUUGAAGCUCGUGUAUAAAUAACAUUGUGAUUAUCUCAUUAAAACCUCCAUCAUUAUUAAACUUUCAAAAUGCAAAAAAGAAUAUUCUAAGGUGACCACAGUAAUAAUUAGCUCAACAAGGUGGUUUAGACUAUUAACUGAACGAAAAAUUACUUGUACUUCGUAAAUCGCAUGCAUCUAGUGUAACAUUCAAUUAUUAUUAUUAUUAUUAUUAUUAUUAUUAUUAUUAUUAUUAUUAUUAUUAUUAUUAUUAUUAUUAUGGGUGAAUCAUAUAGGUUGGCAUAAUAAACGAUGAGAAGUAGGAGCAAAAUUUUGGCUUGAAUUCCCUUGAAGACAUGAGGGAAAAAACUACUGCAAAUAUAUGACAAAGUUUACUAAUGACCAAUUAAUUAGGUGAUGCUAUUGCAGUGCUCUCUCUCUCUCUCUCUCUCUCUCUCUCUCUCUCUCUCUCUCUCUCUCUCUCUCUCUCUCUCUCUCUCUCUCUCUCUCUCUCUCUCUCUCUCUCUCUGUAUCUCACCGCUGCCACCAGUGUAACAAUCUCUCUCUCUCUCUCUCUCUCUCUCUCUCUCUCUCUCUCUCUCUCUCUCUCUCUCUCUCUCUCAUUUCACAAGACGGCAGUGAUUUUGGGACCAAUUGGACAGCAUUGAUUUACAUGAUUAUCGAGACUUUCACUAAACUGUCGACGGUGAAGACGAAAUGCAGUGAUCUCUGGGUCACAACGGUAUGUAUGUACACAGACAAUGGCGAAGUCACCCCCUUGGUCGGCACGGCAGUGUGGCAGUUUUCUAUCGUACGGUUUUCCUCGUUUUCUUUGGUCUGUUUUCAUUCAUGCGGAGGUAGUUGUUUCAUGUUUUUUUUCUUUUUCAUUCGUUUUGUCUUUGGUCUGUUUCCAUGAGGAGGUACUUUUCGAUUUCAUGCGUUUCCCAUUUUCUGUUUUCUCCCAUAUAUCGUUUUCUUUCUUACUUUUUUUUCAAUUUUCAAACGGUUUCCUGUUUUAGUUUCCCUUUUAAUGUAGUCUUCUAUAUGUGCGUUCUUCUUUUAAACAUCUCACUUCGGAGCAACGCGUCACGAUUUCUUGAGCAGCAGACUAAAGGAAAGUUCUUGGUUAGUUAGUUACUUUGAAUUGGACCUUCCCUUCCAACUUGAUUAAACUGAGGAUGUUAGUUGGGCAUUCUUUUGUUUUUCACUGGGUCCUCUCUUCUUCAUAAAUAGACAUGUAGCAAGAGACACACAGGUUUCAAGUAGCGCCAAGAGGCUUCUGUACGUGUCUUGAGGGAUAGUAAAAUAAAAACCAGGUCACAAUCUAGAAAAAGAGUUUGAAGAGGAUAAGUAUAUGUCGAUCCUCCCUAUCCUCCAGUGGUCAGGUUCCAUCGUCCCUCCUCUCACCUCAUAUCCGUGAAGGUGUUGAACUUAAUUGACGUCAGGUACAGGUGUGGUGGGUGGGUAUCUUCCAAGGAUCAGUGGGAGCGAGGGCCACGUAAACCCACUAACGAGAACAGGAUGAACUAACACAGGUGGUGAAAGGUGGGAUGUGGUGUGGCGGGGUGCGAAGUGAAGGGGAUUGGUAGAAUGCGUUUAAAGGGAGGCAAAAGCAAGUUGGAAUCACUGCAGGGGCUUGAGGGAUUGGUAUACAAAAAUAGUCCUUUUUCUGGGGGUGGAUGGCAACGUUGGUCCAAUUCUCUUUGUGGAAAUGACGAGGCAACUGUAAAAGGCAUUUGAUGACGGGUUAGAAUUCAGUCAAAUCCAGUGUAGGAAGCUUAGGGAAUUAGAAUACCAAAACACUGAUUUCUGGAAGGGAUGGGCAAUGCAGGGUCCGUUUUCUGUUUUAGUUUGUGAGGGGAAACACUGCAGUAGGUUUUGUUGAGACAGAAGCAAGUCAUGUCUAUUGUAGAAAGAACGAUGAAGAAAAGAUGAAAGAACACUCGCUUUUAUAGGCAGUGGGCAACGUAGGAUUCGUUUUCUUUGUAGUUUGUGAGGGGAGACACUUCAGUACAUUAGUUUGUUGGGAAAGGAGCAAGUUAAGUCUUCUGUAGAGAGCACUAUGGCUGAAAAGAAAAGUAAUAGAAUUCUCGCUUGUAGAGGUACAGUGGGGAACGCUGAGUCCGUUUUCUUCGUAGUUUGUGAGAGGAGACACUGCAGAAAGUUAUUUUGUUGGGACGGGAGCAAAUUGAAGCUUCUGCAGUAAAAACGAUCGAUGAGAAUAAUAAAAAUAACACUCACUGGGGUUCAUUUUCUUUGUGGUUUGUGAGGGAGAAUAUUGUAGAGUUUUAAACAGAAGCAACACAUUAUCUGUAGAAAGUGAAGUGCAUAAAAAAGAAUACAGAAAAGCGGUUUAUGGUGUCGUGGCCAAAGCUGGGUUCAGAUCUUCUUUGGGUCCGUUUUCUUUCCUUCUUGGCAUUAAGGGGAAACAAGAGUAAAAUGGUGUGAAACGUAAGAGGCGGAGAAAACAGUCAGUCCUUGGAUCUUUCUUACCAGUGCGUUCCUUUUUCAUAUCCUCUGUGUCUUAAUCCACCAAUAUCUCAUUAAUCCUAUGACUUUGCGCCUUCAAACUCAACCACAUCCUUCCUCAACCAUCCAAUAAUCUAAUCCUUUAUCCACCACUCAAUCCUUCAUCCCCUUUCUGCCGUAUCCUUCCACUUUGAAAAUCUUAAUCCACCAAUAUCUCAUCAAUCCUUCAACUCUGCGCGUUCAAACUCCAUCACAUCCUUCCUCAACCAUCUAAUAAUCUAAUCCUUUAUCCACCACCCAAUCCUUCAUCCCCUUCUGCUGUAUCCUUGCAUCCUUCCUCACCCCAUUUUUCCUGACCCUCCGAGUAGACGGUAGUAAGCAGGGCGAGGACAAGCCUUCCCCACUCGGUAACAGGAGAGACAGCGAGGGAUUCAGAGAGGCUUUAGCAGCUCCGGGGUGAGGAUAGUGUUUGAUUCUCCUCGUCUAAUCCAGUCCUGCCAACGGAGCCUCUGUGGAAAGUCCAAUUAACUAACUGUCCACUCAUGAUGCUGGCGUUCUCCCGUUGUUCCUCCUCCUCUUGGCUACUGUUUCUGGUUCUGUUAUCUUCUUCGUCUGGUUCUGUUGUUCCUCUUGUUCCUCCUCUUCUCUACUGUAUAUAUUGCUGUUACCUUUGCGUCUGUUUCUGUUGGUGAUGGUGGUUGGUUUGUCUCUGUUGCUGUUCCUGUUUAGUGUUUCUGGUCUGUUGUUUCGGUUCGCGCUACUGGUGAUGGUAACAGUAGUAGUAGUUCUGGUGAUGGUGAUGGUAGUUCCUUGUCUCUCUUACUUCUCCUGUUGAUGUGUCUGUCUACUGUUCCUGCUGAUGGUUCUGUGUAUUGCUCCUGUUGAUGGUAAAAGUGAUGGUUUUGUUUCUAUAUUUUAUUUCUGCUCGGUUUGUCUGUUGUUUUUCUUUACUUUUUUUGGGGGGUGUAUUCCUGGUUGCUGGUGGUGAUGAUGGAAGAGGUGCGGGGUAUAGAAAGUAUAAAAAAGAAUCACAGUUUGUUUGUUUUUUCUGUUAUUUUUUUAUCCCUCUUCCUCUUUUACUUCAUCCCUCCAAGCGUUAUUUUCUUUUCAUCCGUUUUUCAUUCAUUCGCUGAUUAUACUUCUUUUUUUUAGGACUUUCUUUUCCUCUCCUUUCCUUCGAUUUUUCCCUACUUUUUUUGUUACCUCUUUCGGGUGUUUUACGCGUUUCCAAGUGUCAUUUCUUUCCUUCCUGUCUUUGAUCGCCACUUUUCAUCACCAACCUCAUUUUUUUUGUUUAUUUUUCACUUCAAUCAUUGUCUCCUCCCUCUGGUUAACACUCCUCUAUUCUUCUGCUAUUCUCUUUCGUUCCUGUUAUCACUUUUAUCUUUAUUUUUAUCUCUGUCUUGUGUAUCGUUUUCUUUCCCUUCUUUCGCUUUCUUUUUCACUUUCUCAUUCUUUCUUUCCUCUGGUUGUCACUCUUCUAUCUUUCUUUUAUAUUCUUUCACUUCUGUUACCGCUAUUGUCUUAUGUAUUUCUUUCGCUUUCCACUUUUCCUUCACUAUUUUUUUUCGUUAAGUCCGUUUUCGAAACAUCAAUAUUUUCACACACUGCACAAGAGCCAAGUUUAUCGUAGCUAGCCAUGAAAGGAAUCCGUUUUCUGUUAUAGUUUAUGUGCCUCAAGGGGGGGGGGGGUUGCCAGGUAGGCGUUUCGGUGGUUAGCAGCUGCCAAUCUCAACUCACGCACACACACACACACAGCAACAACAACAACAACAACAACAAUAACAACAUCCAGUGCGUGUACAGAGUUGUCUUGGUCUAUUUGGUAUCGAGACGAGAUGGAACAAAGAAAACGGGACUUGGGGAUUGGACGAAAACGGGGAGUGUUGUAACGAAAUCGGAACAUCGAGUGAGUGAAAACGGGAAACGGAGCGGUGAUUGGGGGAGAAAAUGGGAUACUGUUGUGGCUUUUGAUGAGAACGCAAAGAAAACGGGAAAGGAAAAUGGAUGAAUGUUUUGACUGUUUGAUGUUUGGGAGAAUAAAAAAAAAAAAGUAGAAAAUUGAAAUGAAAAAAUGGAUGAAAUUGCGAAUGAUAAAAGUGAAUAUAUACCGUGUAGAGAUGAGUAAUGAUAAUGAAUGGCUUGGAGAAUGAAUGAAAACAAUGCUGAAUAACAAUGAAAUAGACCAAAAAUGAGUGAAUUCGGGGAUGAUGGAUUUGAUGAAUAUGUCCAAAUUAAUGACUGAUAAAUGAUGACGUGGAAAAAGAAAAUGUAAAAAAGUGGAAAAUUAAAACCAUGAGGAAUAAGAACGAAAUAGACACAAAAUGGUUGAAUUCGUGGAUGAUGAAUGUGGAAAACGUACCCAACUUAAUGAUAGUGAUAAAUGAUGAUGUGAAAAAUUAAUGAAUGGAAAAAAAUGGAAAAUUAAAACUAUGAGGAAUAAGAACGAAAUAGACACAAAAUGGAUAAAUUCGUGGAUGAUGGAUGUGGAAAACGUACCCAACUUUUUUGAUAAUGAUAAAUGAUGUGAAAAUACAUGAGAAAAAACAGCAACAAAUAAAAAACUAGAACUAUGACAAAUGAGAAUGAAAAAAGAAAAGAAAAUGGAUGAAUUCGCAGAUGAUGAAUUUGAGGAACGUGACCAAAUGAAUGAGAGUGAAAAAUGAUGACAUGAAAAUUGCACGAAUGAAAAAAAAAACAGGAAAACAAAAAUAAAGAUGAGUGACUCUCAAAUAUAAAAAAAAA